rnacentral:rRNA from 1 species
CGUCUAGGCGGUUGGAUAAGUCAUUUGUGAAAUCCCAGGGCUUAACCCUGGAAGGUCUUGUGAUACUGUCCGGCUUGGGUGUAGGAGAGGAGAGCGGAACUCACAGAGUAGCGGUGGAAUGCGUAGAUACUGUGAGGUACCCCGAUGGCGAAGGCAGCUCUCUGGCCUACUACCGACGCUGAAGCGCGAAAGCGUGGGGAGCGAAGG